rnacentral:misc_RNA from 1 species
GCUACAACAGAUUCUUACAGGUUACAUCAUUUUAGAAAUAAACUACUUAGUCUGAUGUAGCACAGUUCAGAAGUAUGUUACUAAAAUUUGGCCUUUUAAUUUUAUGGUAGAUCCGUCUGCGACAGAUUUAACGUAGGACGAGCUACUGCCGUAAGGGCUGUACGUCGAGUUUGUCAUGCUUUGUUCAGAAGAGCCUCAAGAUUUAUACAAUGGCCUACGGGAGAUGGUGCUAUUGAAGUAAUGCGUGGAUUUGAGAGAGCAAGUGGUUUUCCUAAAACAAUAGGAGCCAUUGAUGGGACUCACAUUCGUAUAAAUGCUCCAAAACAAAAUCCAGUAGAUUAUAUCAAUCGGAAAGGAUUCCAUUCUGUUCAACUACAGCUGGUAUGUGACCACAAGGCUCUGAUAACCCAUUGUUAUGCUGGAAAUCCAGGAUCUGUUCAUGAUCAAAGAGUUUUUCGUUUGUCAGAAGUUGCAGAGUACUUGAACGAUGACAAUGCAUUUCCUGAAGACAGUCA